rnacentral:siRNA from 1 species
UCAACUGCGGAUAAAAUAUGAUGC